UACGAAGGGGGCUGGCGUUGUUCGGAAUUACUGGGCGUAAAGCGUAUGCAGGCGGACUUUUAAGUCGGGGGUGAAAUCCCGAGGCUCAACCUCGGAACUGCCUUCGAUACUGGAAGUCUUGAGUCCGGGAGAGGUUAGUGGAACUGCGAGUGUAGAGGUGAAAUUCGUAGAUAUUCGCAAGGACACCAGUGGCGAAGGCGGCUACCUGGACCGAUAUUGACGCUGAGACGCGAAAGCUAGGGUAGCAAACGGG
rnacentral:rRNA from 1 species